UUGUAUUUUUAUUCACCUUUUAAAAAAAUCAGUUAGGGGUAUUUUCUUAUCUAUUGGUUUUUUAAAUCUACUUUGGACAUUAAUCUUUGUCUAUUACAUAUGUUCUACACAAAAUGUAUCACUUUAAUUUAUUUGUGGUUAUUUUGUUAUAUAGAAACAUUUUAAUUUGAUAUAGUUAAAAAUACUACUUUUUAUUUGUUUUUUGUCCCCCCAAAAUCUUCUAUCUCUUAAGGUCAUAAAAAUAGUUUCUAAUAUUUUUUUCAGUCACUUAUUGAAGUUUUUUAAAUAUUUAACUCAGAGAACCAUCAGAUUUUAUUUGGGGUCCAUUGUAAGGUACUGAUAUUUUUUCCAUAUGAUGGCUAAUUGGGUCAGCCUUGAAGAUUUUGUUUCUUCUCUGUUAAUUGAAAGGCUAUUUCUAUCACAAACCAAAUUCUAAUAGUGGAUUCUGUACUCUUUGUUCAGUUUGGUUUGUCUAUUUGUCUAUUUGGGGCUACUCCCACACUGUGUCGAUUACCACAGCACUACCAACUGGAUACAUGGUUGGUUAGUUCAAUGUUUUUUCCAUCUCCUUUCAGAGAUGCAAGUUCAUCUUCAGUCACAGCACAAGGAGACCCGCGCAGCGUGUCUCUGGCACUCCGCUUCAACCCAGGGCAGUGCUGAGAACUUGUCGCGGGUUCUAAAACCCACCCCACAGCCCGGUGACCCUCGUCUCACCAGCCUCCCUGCUGCCACCCACAUCCCCGUCACUGCACUAAUCCUCAAAAUAAAAUGCAGCUGUAACCGGCACACCUGUUUCGGAUCCAUUACAAUAAAUCAGAAUCUAUGUUUAUUUCAGUUACAGGAGCAGGUGAAGGACGGGCUGCAUUUCUGGCAAAGCAACUAGAAAGCAGAAGACAAUUCAAACCGUUAGGAGACAGUUGUGGGUUCUCUGCCAAGCACUGGACCUCAACAGAAGCAGAACAGCAGAUCAUUCCAAAACAGUUUUUGGCUGAGAUUUGAUAAACAGCAGCAUCAUGUGGGGUACAGCUAGGAUGAAGAGAACACACAGAUGGGGUCUUGCUCGGUCACCGGCUAUUCACAGAUGCGGACGUAGCUCACUGCAGCCUCGAACUCCUCACCUCAAGCGAUCCUCCCACCCGGCCUCCUGAAGUGCUGGGAUUACAGGGGUGAGCCACGGCUCCCAGCCCCUCCUUCAUUUAUUCUCUUUCACCGGACCCAUUACAUAGUUGCUGGUUUGUUAAAUGACUGACUCCUCCUAUUAUCCCUGUCCCGUGAGAUCAGGGACCGCAGUGUUGCCAUAUCACCAGGGUCUAGAACAGUCCCUGGCACGUAGUAAAAGCCUUCUACUGGAUGGCUCUAUGCUCUCUCUGGGCCUUGGGUGACCUAUAAAGUAUAAGGAGUGCCCUAGACCAAGUGGAUCUGACCAAUUAAAGCAGGUCUUAGGAAUGGGACUUGAGCAUCAGUUUCGGGUUUUUUUUUUUUUUUUAAGAGUUCCCCAAGGUUAAUAUAUAGGCAGGAAUGGGCCAAUCCUUAGGGCAGGGCUUCUCGUGUGUUAAAUGAGCGCACGAAUCACUUGGGAUCUCGUUAAAAUGUUCUCAUUCGCUAGGUCUGGCCUGGGAGCUGGGAUUCGGCCAUUCUAGCAAGCUCCCAGCACAUGCUGAUGCUGUCGGUUCAAAAUCUAGCUUCAAGCAGCACUGUCUUAAAGUCGCUUCCAGCUCUGUGACACCAACAUUUCUACAAAAGGUGAACAUCCCUUUACUCUCAGGAAAAUAUCAGCUGUCACUCGCCUUGCUGCUCAAUGUGAGCUGAGUUCCGUAGCCAAUGCCUGGCAAUCUGCCCCCACAUGCAAGUCUGUGGGCGUUCGGUGUUGGUUUUGCUUUUUUAAAAAACACUAAUUGCUGGACCCGGCCAGGCAGGGGGAAUGAGCGAAACCAGACAGGAGAACGCCUCUCUCAAAAGCAGGCUCCCAGACCUGUGGUCAGGGAAGAAUCCCAUCACGAUUCGAUUGCUUCUCUUUGUCUGCUGUCUGUCGUCAGGGCCUGGUGCCUGCUGUGUCCCGUGCCCCUCUUGUCUUCUCAAUUGGCCAUCUCAUCGUGCCUCCGCCUGGCUGCUGUCUGCGGUGCCUGGGCGAGUGGAGGUGGCAAUUGUCCGCAAACAGGAGAGCAGGGGACCCGGGGGAAGGCUCAUUAGGGCUGUCAAGGAGGCUCUAACUGGGGAACAGUCUCCACCCUGCCGGAGCAGCAGCCCCAGGGAACGGGGAUGACAAGGACAGUAAGGGAGCAGCCACCUGAUGACUAGCUGCUCUGACACCCUGCCAUUCAAAUGGUGACGGGGCUGCUGACACAGUGGCUUUUUCCUACAGGUCCUGCAAAACGUCUGUUAAAAAAAAAUGAUUGUCUUCACAAUCUGCUUCCACACCAGAACCUCUGACCACCACGAAGCCACAGCGAUUGGCAUCGUUUCCCAGGUUCCGGUGGACCCUGCCCUUGGGGCAAAACUGUACGAACAAAACUGCUGGCCACAUUGUUUUAUCUCCUUCCACAGAUCUUUACUGAAUGUCACCUGAGAGACAGGUGCCAUGCCUGGUGCUCGAGACACCGCAGGGAACAGAUCAGGCAGGUCUCUGCUCCCGGGGCUCUUCCAUUCCAUGGGGUCCUGCUCCAGUUGCGGAGAGUCACAAUACACAAAGACACAAAUAGAUGUACGUUAUGGCUGAGGACGACCCAAGUGUCCACCAACAGGUGACCGGAGUAACAGAUUGUGGUAGAUCCACACGGUGAAAUACUGAAACAUGACUCAACAGUAAAAAGAAUGAGCUGUUGAUACACCAGACAUAAUUACCUGGCAGGCAAGAAGCCUCAUACAAACGAGCGCAUAUUCUAUGAUCUCAUUUGUAUAAAAUUCUAGAAAAUAUGAAUGACUCUGUAGGAACAGGGAGGAGAGAAGUUACUGUUUGAGGAUGGGUGGGCAGAGACAGGCAGGAAGGUGGGAUUGGAAAGGGACUUGUGAAGUCUUUUGGGGGUGACAGAUGUGUUCACAGUCUUGAUUGUGGGGAUGGCUCUGGGGGUAUAUGCAUGUAUCCAAGCUGACCAAACUGGACACUCCACAUCUGUGUAGUUCAUAUGUCAGUGACACUUCAAUAACGCUAUUGAAUGUGUGUGUGUAUGUGUGUGUAAACAUGUCAUGUGCUAAGUGAAAGAUAAAGCGAGAUGAGGAAGGUAGGGUGUGCUGGGGGUAGCCAGUCCUAUUUUAAAUGGCUGGUUGGAGAAGGUCUCAGGUGACUUUGAGCAGAAACCUGAAGGGAGUGAGAGCGCUAGCCUCCGGGCUCCCUGGGAAAGAGCAUUCUAGGGAGCAGGAAUGGCCGGGGCAGGGCAGUGUGCUCCUAGGCCCUAUGCACACCUUUGAGCCCUGUAAUGGCUCAGAACGGAGGAAACCCUCUGGGGUUUGUACUAAACAAUUGCCCCCAAGCUCCACGUGCCUUCUUUGCAUCUGCGCCGUCCACAGGGUAGUGUCCAUGUCCUUGGCCUGAGCCUGGCUUCUUAGUCACACCAGCUCUAGAAUCUGCACUAAGAUUCUCGUUCUAGAAUUCAAAGGUCAAGGCCAGGUGUGGUGGCUCACACUUGUAAUC